GAGGACAUACAAGUAGAGAGAUACUAUAGAGCAGAGAAACAGCAUCACCAUGAUCGCAAAGAUUUGUGUCAUCAUUAUUCUUUUUGUUGUCUACUGCAACGCACAGAGUGUACCUGUAAUUGCUUCAACAACAACCACAACUGCAGCAACAAACACCACAGCUGCUCCAACA